CCUACGGGUGGCAGCAGUGAGGAAUAUUGGUCAAUGGUCGGGAGACUGAACCAGCCAAGCCGCGUGAGGGAUGAAGGUACAGAGUAUCGUAAACCUCUUUUGUCAGGGAACAAAGGCGGGGACGCGUCCCCGGAUGAGUGUACCUGAAGAAAAAGCAUCGGCUAACUCCGUGCCAGCAGCCGCGGUAAUACGGGGGAUGCGAGCGUUAUCCGGUUUUCUGGGGUUUAAAGGGUGCGCAGGCGGUCUGUUAAGUCAGCGGUAAAAGCCAGGGGCUCAACCCCGGACCGCCGUUGAAACUGGGAGUCUCGAGUUGGAGAGAAGUAUGCGGAAUGCGCGGUGUAGCGGUGAAAUGCAUAGAUAUCGCGCAGAACUCCGAUUGAGAAGGCAGCAUGCCGGCUCCACACUGACGCUGAGGCACGAAAGCGUGGGGAUCGAACAGGAUUAGAUACCCGUGUAGUC
rnacentral:rRNA from 1 species